CCCUGUAUAACCGAGUUUGUGUAACCGCAAGGUACAAAUUCGGUGUUACAGAGGUC
rnacentral:miRNA from 1 species